AUUGAACGCUGGCGGCAGGCCUAACACAUGCAAGUCGAACGGUAACAGGAAGACGCUUGCUUCUUUGCUGACGAGUGGCGGACGGGUGAGUAAUGUCUGGGAAACUGCCUGAUGGAGGGGGAUAACUACUGGAAACGGUAGCUAAUACCGCAUAACGUCGCAAGACCAAAGAGGGGGACCUUCGGGCCUCUUGCCAUCGGAUGUGCCCAGAUGGGAUUAGCUAGUAGGUGGGGUAACGGCUCACCUAGGCGACGAUCCCUAGCUGGUCUGAGAGGAUGAUCAGCCACACUGGAACUGAGACACGGUCCAGACUCCUACGGGAGGCAGCAGUGGGGAAUAUUGGACAAUGGGCGCAAGCCUGAUGCAGCCAUGCCGCGUGUAUGAAGAAGGCCUUCGGGUUGUAAAGUACUUUCAGCGGGGAGGAAGGGAGUAAAGUUAAUACCGGUGCUUAUUGACGUUACCCGCAGAAGAAGCACCGGCUAACUCCGUG
rnacentral:rRNA from 1 species